rnacentral:ncRNA from 2 species
AAGCGUUCUCAGGGCGGGGUGCAAUUCCCCACCGGCGGUGAUGGCGGGGCAACCCGCACAAGCCCGCGAGCGCCUUGCACCGCAGCGUGCAAGGGUCAGCAGAUCCGGUGACAUUCCGGAGCCGACGGUCACAGUCCGGAUGAAAGAGAGCGCGU